GAGGUUGUAGCUCAGUGGUAGAGUGCUUGCUUAGCACGUGUGAAGAGUUGGGUUCAGGGCUGGGAUUGUGGCUCAGCCGUAGAGCGCUGGCCUAGCUUGCGCAGGGCCCUGGGUUCGAUCCUCAGUACCACA
rnacentral:tRNA from 1 species